AGGUAGUUAGCUCAGUUGGUUAGAGCGUGGUGCUAAUAAUGCCAAGGUCAUGGGUUCAAUCCCUGCUAACUG
rnacentral:tRNA from 1 species